AUCUUUAAAUUUGUGAACCAUAUUUUUAAUUUCCAGAAAAUUUGUUUGUGGUUAUUUUUACAUUGCUCACUUUUCAUAGCACUCUGUUCUUGUUUCAUGGAUGCAAUAUUUUCUAAAAUCUCUCUGAUACAAUGAUUGAUGAGGUAUCAUUCUUUUAACUACAUUCUCUUAUGUUCUUGAAUUAACUGUUUCCUCCAGGAUACAUUUCUGUCUUUCACUUUUAAAAAUAGGGGUUGUUUUCUUUCAUACCAAAGUUUCUUUAUUUUUGGUAAGCCUUGGCUGUCCUUUUGUAUUUAAGAAUGAGGGACUGUGAAGGCUGACCAGAAACUCUGAGAAUCUGAAUAUGUACUGUUGACCUUCGAACUGCCCUUCAGCAUGAGUGCAUAAAAAACCAACUAAUGCCCAUGAGCCAGCAGCCUGCUGUAUUGCCUUUUGAUCUUGGGAUUCAUCAGCCUCCACAGCCUGUGAGUCAGCUGCCUGCUAUCAGCCCUGCCGAUUUGGGGUUUGUCAGCCCCUGUAGCUCUAUGAGUCAGGAAAAGCCUCUGUCCUGAUGCCUGACCCACAGACUUGGGACUUGCCAGCCUCUACAACCAUAGAACCCAGUCUAAGACAGAGAGUGAAAAGACCUGCUUUUUAUUUUGAAAAGAUUACUCCAGCUCCUGAGUGGUGUGUAGACAGGUGGGUCAGUGAAGAGUCUGUUGGAAUGGUCCUGGUGAGGCAGGAUGAGUUUUGGAACAGGAGACAGUGAGAAGAUGCUGAGAAUUGGUCAGAACCAGCCCUGCUGACACCUUGAUUUUAGCCUACUGAGGCUGAUUUCAGACUUCUGAUCUCCAGAACUAUAAUAAGUUUAUAUUGUUUUAAGCCACUAAGUUUGUGCUCAUUCUUUUUUUACCCCUACCCUCUCUUCCCUCCCUAGUAACUACCAAAGAUUUUUUCUUUCUGUGUGUAAACCUUUUCAUGAGUUUUUAUAAUAGUGGUCUCAUAUACUAUUUGUCCUUUUGUGAUUGAUUUAUUUCACUCAGCAUAAUGCCUUCCAGAUUCAUCCAUGUUGUGAGAUGUUUCCCAGACUUAUCAUUAUUCUUUAUUGUUGUAUAUUAUUCCAUUGUGUGUAUGUACCAUAGUUUGUUUAUCCAUUCAUCUGUUAAUAUGGACACUUAGGUUGUUUCCAUCUUUUUGCUAUUGUGAAUAACACUGCAAUGAACAUGGGUGUGCAUAUGUCUAUUUGUGUGACAGCUCUUAUUUCUCUAGGAUAUACUUCUAGGAGUGCGGUUGCUGGGUUGUAUGAUAUUUCUAUUUCUAGCUUUUCAAGAGAGCAUCAUAUUUUCCAAAAUGAUUGUACCAUUUUACAUUCCCACCAUGUGCUCAUUUCUUUUUUUUUAAUCAUUACUCAGUCAUUUUUUUUUAAUUGUGCUUUACAGUUCAAAUUAAUUUCUCUUACAAAAAUUUAUACACACAUUAUCAUGUAACCCUAGUUGCUUUCCCUAUAAUGUGACAGCACGCUCCCCCUUUCCACCACAGAUUUCCCAUGUCCAUUUGACCGGUUCCUGUCCAUUUCUGCCUUCUCAUCUCCCCUCCGGACAGGAGAUGCCCAUUUAGUCUCAUGUAUUUACUUAAACGAAGAAGCACACUCUUCACGAGUAUCAUUUUAUGUCUUAUAGUCCAGUCACAUCUUUAUCUGAAGAGUUGGCUUUAGGCAUAGUUUUAGUUUUGUGCUAACAGAGAGUCUGGGAUGUGCUUAUUUCUUAUAGCAGCAAUAGGAAACCAGUAUA